rnacentral:SRP_RNA from 1 species
GCCAGGUGUGGUGGCGCAUACCUGUAGUCCCAGCUACUUGGGAGGCUGAGGCAGGAGAAUCGCUUGAAUCCAGGAGGCAGAGGUUGCAGUGAGCCAAUAUCACGCCACUGCACUCCAGCCUGGGUGACAGAGUGAGACUCAGUCUCAA